rnacentral:rRNA from 1 species
UGCCAGCCGCCGCGGUAAGACGGAGGGUGCAAACGUUGUUCGGAAUCACUGGGCAUAAAGAGCACGUAGGCGGCUAAGUCAGUCUGGUGUGAAAGCCCCCGGCUCAACCGGGGAAUUGCAUCGGAUACUGCUUGGCUUGAGGACGGUUGGGGUGAGUGGAACUCCUGGUGGAGCGGUGAAAUGCGUAGAUAUCAGGAGGAACACCAGUGGCGAAAGCGACUCUCUGGGCCAUAAUUGACGCUGAUGUGCGAAAGCUAGGGGAGCAAACGGGAUUAGAUA